ACAUGCUUACAUCAUAGUGUUAAUGCAUUGGACCUCAUUAGAACUCUACAGUUAAGUGUUCUCUGGCUAGAGUAGUACUAGGAUGGGUGAUUGCUCAAGAAUUCCUAGUAUUUUACAUGCC
rnacentral:rRNA from 1 species